UGAGGAAUAUUGGUCAAUGGACGCAAGUCUGAACCAGCCAAGUAGCGUGCAGGAUGACGGCCCUAUGGGUUGUAAACUGCUUUUAUAUGGGGAUAAUGUGGGGAACGUGUUCUCUUUUGCAGGUACCAUAUGAAUAAGGACCGGCUAAUUCCGUGCCAGCAGCCGCGGUAAUACGGAAGGUUCGGGCGAUAUCCGGAUUUAUUGGGUUUAAAGGGAGCGUAGGCCGUUUGGUAAGCGUGUUGUGAAAUGUAGGAUCGCAACUUCUUGAAUGCAGCGCGAACUGUCCGACUUGAGUGCGCCCGACGUAGGCGGAAUUCAUGGUGUAGCGGUGAAAUUCUUCGAUAUCAUUAUGAACUCCCAUUGCGAAGGCAGCUUACGGAAGCUCAACUGACGCUCAAGAUCGAAGGUGAGGGUAUCGAACAGG
rnacentral:rRNA from 1 species